UAAAUUUUCUCCAGUUGGAGAAAAAAUUAAAAACAGACUCAUUUGGUUUAAAACAGUUUGGACACUUAAGCCUUUCCCAGUGUCUUUAAGAGAAUUGUUUCAGUGUUUCAGAUUUCUGCAAACUUCCUCCUCUUACCCAUGGUAAGAAUAUCCUUUUCCCCAUGGACUGAAAUACUUCUGGGAUUAAGUGUGCUCUCACUUCUUUAGCCCUCACUCACUACUUUGACCUCUUGAUCAUCACCGACAUGCUAGCAAUGUGACUUAAUUUGGAGAAAGGUUUAAUCCACUGGGUUGUCUUCUCUAACUUGGUCAGGAUCUAGCAGUAAUCAGUGGCUGAGUUGACCUAAUUUUUUUUUUUUUUUUUUUUUUUUUUUGAGACAGGGUUUUGCUCUGUCACUCAGGCUGGAGUGCAGUGAUGCAAUCAUGGCUCACUGCAGUCGCCACCACACUCACAUAAUUUUUUUAUUUUUUGUAGAGAUGGUUUGGCU
rnacentral:lncRNA from 1 species